rnacentral:lncRNA from 1 species
GGCGUGGCCUCGGAAAGCGGGCAGAGCCCACGCAUGCACGCACACGCAUGCUGCUGCUGUGGCUCAGAGCCCUGUGCCGGCGUUUCCAGCAUGUCCCCUGCCGCGUCCCUUCCUGUCAGGUGUCCCGGGUCGCGAAGGCGAACAGAGCCGGGUAAGGCGGGUGGGACGGAGCUCAGGCGAGACAGGGCUCAGUGACUUGCCUAAUCCUGCUCCUGUGCCGGGCCACACCGGACACAUUGGGAAAAAUCGGUCACCCAUGUAAUUGGGUCUGGGCCUCCAGGCUGCCGCGUUUGGUUUGGAGGAGGUCCCUUUGGAGUGUGGUUCCCAGAUUCCCUGAUUGGUCUCAGGCCCACUCCACGAUUCUUACACUCUUUGUCACGUGGCCUUAGCUUUCAAUACCUACCUUACGUCACCAGCCUGCCCCGAGGGACUUCCUAGGGGUUGGGAUGGCUGUCCAGGCUGAGAUUAUAUGUGAGAUUCUGAUUUUUCAACCUUUCCCUCGUGUACUGAGGUUCCCGGAAGCGCCCAGCUCUGGGUUGUGGGAUUGUUGCUCACAGCACUUGGGGAGCGGGGAUGUCCUGGUCUAAUCGCCCGAGUGGUGGGUGGGUUCACAGCGAAGACAGCCCUUCCAGGGCCAGCCAUUACAGCUGACCUGCUGACCUGCUUUUGAUAGCUCAGCCCCGGACUGGGGCAGCUAAGCUCUUAGGCUCUAGAAAUUCCAGGGGAAAGACAGGGCUGUCCUGACUCUCCAAAUGGGGCUGAGUUGUGGCCUCUAGGAGAAGACACAGGGCUUCACAGCAGGACAUCGGGGUAACUUCCUUGAUACUCUUCUCCAGUGGGACAAAGGAAUGUCACCCACGCCACGCCACGCCACAGUAGUUGUUUAUAGCCCCAAUCUCAGUGUCCUUGUCUGUGAAAUGGGGAUGGCCGUAGACUUCGCCUAGCAGUUUGGGUAAUGAGCUUGCCGCUCAGUGUAGGUUCUGAGGUGCUUGUCCACAUUUUAUGACAUCGAAUUGGGCUGAAUGUUGGAGGAAAGCUGCCUGAGUCGUGUCACGAAGCACUUCUGCAUGCAGCCACCGAACUGUUCCCCACCUAGACCCACAUGAGAAGCGGAAUGGGAUUUAAACCCCUAUCUCUGGGAACCUUUGGCCACCACUUUUCUCUUUUUCCCUCCUGCAUGGUUCAUGGGACACCUCUCACCCCUCACACCCCUCAGGCAUCCAAGUUCUGGCUACUUUGCAAGAGCUGCUCUGUUUAUGAAGCCCGGCCCGCUCCUUACUUUCUGAGGGCACACCUGGAAUUGUUUACUGGCUCAGGACAUGGUCCCUUGUCCCCUGACCUCCCCACCUAUGCUCACUUUCAGGCAUUGUAGCUCCACCACACCUGGUCCCUUCUUUGCAGGAAGAGCGAGAAAGGCCCUUUAAAAAACUAUUUGUCUCGGGGCAGCGGUGCUGCACGCCUUUAAUCCCAGCACUGGGAGGCAGAGGCAGGCAGAUUUCUGAGUUCAAGGCCAGCCUGGUCUACAGAGUGAGUUCCAGGACAGCCAGGGCUACACAGAGAAACCCUGUCUCGAAAAUU